AGUUAACUAGCUUUAAGCAAUUAUAUCUUGAAAUUAUAAAAAAGAAUUUAUUUUCUGUUAACUU
rnacentral:tRNA from 1 species